GGAUUAGAUACCCUGGUAGUCCACACCGUAAACGCUGUCUACUAGCUGUGUGUGUCUUUAAGACGUGCGUAGCGAAGCUAACGCGCUAAGUAGACCGCCUGGGGAGUACGGCCGCAAGGUUAAAACUCAAAUGAAUUGACGGGGGCCCGCACAAGCGGUGGAACAUGUGGUUUAAUUCGAAGCAACGCGAAGAACCUUACCUACACUUGACAUGCAGAGAACUUUCCAGAGAUGGAUUGGUGCCUUCGGGAAUCCUGAGACAGGUGCUGCAUGGCUGUCGUCAGCUCGUGCUG
rnacentral:rRNA from 1 species